rnacentral:rRNA from 1 species
AACGCGAAGAACCUUACCAGGUCUUGACAUCCGCUGACAAUCUUGGAGACAAGACGUUCCCUUCGGGGACAGCGUGACAGGUGGUGCAUGGUUGUCGUCAGCUCGUGUCGUGAGAUGUUGGGUUAAGUCCCGCAACGAGCGCAACCCUUGAUUCUAGUUGCCAGCAUUAAGUUGGGCACUCUAGAGUGACUGCCGGUGACAAACCGGAGGAAGGUGGGGAUGACGUCAAAUCAUCAUGCCCCUUAUGACCUGGGCUACACACGUGCUACAAUGGAUGGUACAAAGGGCAGCAAAGUCGCGAGGCUAAGCAAAUCCCAUAAAACCAUUCUCAGUUCGGAUUGCAGGCUGCAACUCGCCUGCAUGAAGCCGGAAUCGCUAGUAAUCGCGGAUCAGCAUGCCGCGGUGAAUACGUUCCCGGGCCUUGUACACACCG